CCAUGGCAACUCCACCAGUCAGGAGGAGGCAGAUAAAGGAACCCAGUUGAAAAAAUAAAAACCUAAUCAGAAGAUCUGUUCCACCUCCUGAUCUACUGGUUAUAGUACAUUGUGGGAAUGCAUGACUGAGACAAGACGACAGCACUGGGCCAACGAGGAGAGAGAAGACACAUUAACAUUCAAUAAACUGUUCAAACUUCUCA